rnacentral:rRNA from 1 species
UGGGGAAUAUUGGACAAUGGGCGCAAGCCUGAUCCAGCCAUGCCGCGUGAGUGAUGAAGGCCCUAGGGUUGUAAAGCUCUUUCACCGGUGAAGAUAAUGACGGUAACCGGAGAAGAAGCCCCGGCUAACUUCGUGCCAGCAGCCGCGGUAAUACGAAGGGGGCUAGCGUUGUUCGGAUUUACUGGGCGUAAAGCGCACGUAGGCGGACUUUUAAGUCAGGGGUGAAAUCCCGGGGCUCAACCCCGGAACUGCCUUUGAUACUGGAAGUCUUGAGUAUGGUAGGGGUGGGUGGAAUUCCGCGUGUAGAGGUGAAAUUCGUAGAUAUUCGGAGGAACACCAGUGGCGAAGGCGGCGCACUGGACCAUUACUGGCGCUGAGGUGCGAAAGCGUGGGGAGCAAACAGG